rnacentral:rRNA from 1 species
CCUACGGGAGGCAGCAGUGGGGAAUCUUGCACAAUGGGGGAAACCCUGAUGCAGCGACGCCGCGUGAGUGAAGAAGUAAUUCGUUAUGUAAAGCUCUAUCAGCAGGGAAGAAAAUGACGGUACCUGAGUAACAAGCCCCGGCUAACUCCGUGCCAGCAGCCGCGGUCAUACGGAGGGGGCAAGCGUUAUCCGGAUUUACUGGGUGUAAAGGGAGCGUAGACGGCAGUGCAAGUCUGGAGUGAAAGGCGGGGGCUCAACCCCCGGACUGCUCAGGAAACUGUACGGCUGGAGUGCAGGAGAGGUAAGUGGAAUUCCUGGUGUAGCAGUGAAAUGCGUAGAUAUUAGGAGGAACACCAGUGGCGAAGGCGGCUUACUGGACUGUAACUGACGUUGAGGCUCGAAGGCGUGGGGAGCAAACGGGAUUAGAUACCCGGGUAGUC